CAGUUCCUUGUGGUUGUAGAUCUUCAGUUUCUUCCUGGUUGUAAACUUUGGGUCAUUCCCAGCUUCUAAAGGUCACUGGCUUUUCUUGGCUUGUGGCCCCCUACCACUGUUUUAAAAGCCAGUAAUAGCAGGCCACAUCUUUCUCAUACUGCCAUCUGUCUGAAUCUCAGCAUCCAGAAAAUAUUCUCUGCUCUCAAGGAAUUAUGAGAUUAGACUGGCUCACCAAGGUAAUUCAAGAUAAACACAAUCUGGGAAACAUUUUAUAAUACAGAGGGCCACACCAGAUUGAAUAUUGCCCCCAGGAAUGAAAUGAAAACAGGAAUGGAUUCUCCAGUAAGAGGGUAUCACAGGGCGUCAAACUGGAAAAUGUGGCACUGCCUGGAGUUUCUACCUGGUGAAGGGUGGCAGACUUUUCUCUUCAGAGGACUCUUGACAGGGUAGCAUCCAUUAUCUUGCCAAUUUACUACAACCUAGGCCCAAUCCUCAGUCUUAUAGGUUCAGAAAUUUA
rnacentral:lncRNA from 1 species